CAUUGAAACACCGGUUUCCGUACGAUCACGGAAGUUAAGCACCGUCGAACCUGGUCAGUACCUAGAUGGGUGACCGCUUGGGAAUACUAGGUGUUGUCA
rnacentral:rRNA from 1 species